GUGGGGAAUAUUGGACAAUGGGCGAAAGCCUGAUCCAGCCAUGCCGCGUGUGUGAAGAAGGUCUUCGGAUUGUAAAGCACUUUAAGUUGGGAGGAAGGGCAGUAAGUUAAUACCUUGCUGUUUUGACGUUACCGACAGAAUAAGCACCGGCUAACUUCGUGCCAGCAGCCGCGGUAAUACGAAGGGUGCAAGCGUUAAUCGGAAUUACUGGGCGUAAAGCGCGCGUAGGUGGUUUUGUAAGUUGGAGGUGAAAUCCCCGGGCUCAACCAGGGAACUGCAUCCAAAACUGCAUGGCUAGAGUACGGUAGAGGGUAGUGGAAUUUCCUGUGUAGCGGUGAAAUGCGUAGAUAUAGGAAGGAACACCAGUGGCGAAGGCGACUACCUGGACUGAUACUGACACUGAGGUGCGAAAGCGUGGGGAGCAAACAGGAUUAGAAACCCUUGUAGUCC
rnacentral:rRNA from 1 species